GUAGGGGGCGAGCGUUGUCCGGAUUCAUUGGGCGUAAAGCGCGGGCAGGCGGCCCGCUCAGUCGGCCGUGAAAGCGCCGGGCUCAACUCGGCGCGGUCGGGCGAUACUGGCGGGCUGGAGGCUGGUAGAGGGCGGUGGAAUUCCGGGUGUAGUGGUGGAAUGCGUAGAGCUCCGGAGGAACACCAGUGGCGAAGGCGGCCGCCUGGGCCAGUCCUGACGCUGAGCCGCGAAAGCGUGGGGAGCGAUCCGGAUUAGAUACCCGGGUAGUCCACGCCGUAAACGAUGGGCACUAGGUGUCGGGGGUAUCGACCCCCCCGGUGCCGGCGCUAACGCAAUAAGUGCCCCGCCUGGGGAGUACGGCCGCAAGGCUA
rnacentral:rRNA from 1 species